rnacentral:rRNA from 1 species
AGUGAACGCUGGCGGUAGGCCUAACACAUGCAAGUCGAACGGCAGCACAGUAAGAGCUUGCUCUUACGGGUGGCGAGUGGCGGACGGGUGAGGAAUACAUCGGAAUCUACUUUUUCGUGGGGGAUAACGUAGGGAAACUUACGCUAAUACCGCAUACGACCUACGGGUGAAAGCAGGGGAUCUUCGGACCUUGCGCGAUUGAAUGAGCCGAUGUCGGAUUAGCUAGUUGGCGGGGUAAAGGCCCACCAAGGCGACGAUCCGUAGCUGGUCUGAGAGGAUGAUCAGCCACACUGGAACUGAGACACGGUCCAGACUCCUACGGGAGGCAGCAGUGGGGAAUAUUGGACAAUGGGCGCAAGCCUGAUCCAGCCAUACCGCGUGGGUGAAGAAGGCCUUCGGGUUGUAAAGCCCUUUUGUUGGGAAAGAAAAGCAGCAGGUUAAUACCCCGCUGUUCUGGCGGUGCCCAAAGAAUAAGCACCGGCUAACUUCGUG